GAGAAUGCCGGUGUGAGUAGCGAAAGACGGGUGAGAAUCCCGUCCACCGAUUGACUAAGGUUUCCAGAGGAAGGCUCGUCCGCUCUGGGUUAGUCGGGUCCUAAGCUGAGGCCGACAGGCGUAGGCGAUGGAUAACAGGUUGAUAUUCCUGUACCACCUAUAAUCGUUUUAAUCGAUGGGGGGACGCAGUAGGAUAGGCGAAGCGUGCGAUUGGAUUGCACGUCUAAGCAGUAAGGCUGAGUAUUAGGCAAAUCCGGUACUCGUUAAGGCUGAGC
rnacentral:rRNA from 1 species